rnacentral:rRNA from 1 species
AUUGAACGCUGGCGGCAGGCCUAACACAUGCAAGUCGAGCGGAUGAAGGGAGCUUGCUCCUGGAUUCAGCGGCGGACGGGUGAGUAAUGCCUAGGAAUCUGCCUGGUAGUGGGGGAUAACGUCCGGAAACGGGCGCUAAUACCGCAUACGUCCUGAGGGAGAAAGUGGGGGAUCUUCGGACCUCACGCUAUCAGAUGAGCCUAGGUCGGAUUAGCUAGUUGGUGGGGUAAAGGCCUACCAAGGCGACGAUCCGUAACUGGUCUGAGAGGCUGAUCAGUCACACUGGAACUGAGACACGGUCCAGACUCCUACGGGAGGCAGCAGUGGGGAAUAUUGGACAAUGGGCGAAAGCCUUAUCCAGCCAUGCCGCGUGUGUGAAGAAGGUCUUCGGAUUGUAAAGCACUUUAAGUUGGGAGGAAGGGCAGUAAGUUAAUACCUUGCUGUUUUGACGUUACCAACAGAAUAAGCACCGGCUAACUUCGUG